UCCAUCACAAAUUACUAUCUUUUGUGAUUGUUUUAAAAACUUUCACAAAGUUCUGUCACAUAUUCUUGUUUUUCUAGUAGUGUCGGGACUGUAGGAACCCUUUCGAAUGAGUUUGGUAGAAUUGCUUCACGGUUAUGCAGACAUUUUGCAUGGGUUCCUAGCAACAUGCUUGGGGCCGACGGGAAGGUUGUUGUGUAGAGGUUAUAUAUGGACCCUGCCAAAAAAUUUAUCUGUCCGAAAAGAAGGAU
rnacentral:lncRNA from 1 species